rnacentral:lncRNA from 1 species
UUGUUCUGAGGAUACAGGAAACUGGGAGGUGAUAGGAGCUGAGAGAACUGAAGUGUACUUAUUUGUACAAAAUUCAUGCAGUGGCUGCGUCAGGGAGGCUUCAGGAAAAUAUGCCUGAUACUGGAGGUCCUGGAAGAUUCUUGGAAGUUGGUCUUAGUGUAGAAUGGAGGAGGCAAUUAUCUGAGACAAAGCCUGGAACAUUGAAAGCAUAGUAGGAAUUGUGAGGUUGUGAGAUGUGGGACAAACUCCAAAACAGUGGGACAUGAGGAAAGAGGAAGGAGGAGUACUGUGAGAUACUGCAAACUCAGAAAUACAUGAAGAUGAGGACGUAGCUGUACAACAGCCCAAAGCAGAACAAUUUGGGAUCACUGAAAAAGGAGAAUGAAGAGAUGGGAAGAAUUGCAGUGAAAGAGGAACACAAAUUAUUAUGUCUCAGGUUGGCUUCGAACCCACUGUCGUCUAUAAUCCCCAGGGUGCCCUAGGGGUGAGUAUUUCCACACUCAAAAAGUCCUUCUUACCACCCCACACAAACAGCUCCUGGGUUGUCUCUGCUUUGCACUACAUGGGAUAA